GUCUAUGGCCAUGCCACCCUAAACAAGCCCGAUCCUGUCGGAUCACAGAAGCUAAGCAGGGUUGGGCCUGGUUAGUACUUGGAUGGGAGACCACCUAGGAAGACCAGGUGCUAUAGGCG
rfam:Pteropus alecto contig101044, whole genome shotgun sequence.